rnacentral:lncRNA from 1 species
CUACGGGAGCCGGGCCCCAUUACCAACUUCAACUGCUGGUAAGCCUUGUCCUGACUCCUACGGGAGCCGAACUUCGCCUUUGAUUUCAAUUGCAGGAAGGCUCCACCCGGACUCCUACGGGAGCCAGACCCCGUUGCCAACUUCAACUGCUGAUAAGCUCUGUCCGGACUCCUACGGGAGCCGGGCUCCGUCCACAACUUCUG